rnacentral:rRNA from 1 species
GACGAACGCUGGCGGCGUGCUUAACACAUGCAAGUCGAACGGUAAGGCCCUAGCUUGGUCUGCUGGAUCAGUGGCGAACGGGUGAGUCACACGUGAGCAAUCUGCCCCUGACUCUGGGAUAAGCGCUGGAAACGGCGUCUCAUACUGGAUACGAGCUCCGCAUGCAUGUUCAUCAGAUGCACCGAACGUCGGUCAGGGAUGCGCUCGCGGCCUAUCAGCUUGUUGGUGGGGUACCGGCUAACCAAGGCGUCGACGGGUAGCCGGCCUGAGAGGGUGACCGGCCACACUGGGACUGAGACACGGCCCAGACUCCUACGGGAGGCAGCAGUGGGGAAUAUUGCACAAGGGGCGAAAGCCUGAGGCAGCAACGCCGCGUGGGGGAGGACGGCCUUCGGGUGGUAAACCUCUUUUGGCGGGGAAGAAGCGAUAGUGACGGUACCUGCAGAAGAAGCACCGGCUAACUACGUG